rnacentral:rRNA from 1 species
GGUGAACGCUGGCGGCGUGCCUAACACAUGCAAGUCGAGCGGUGCAGUUUGAAGCUUCGGUGGAAAGCUGUAUAGCGGCGGACGGGUGAGUAAAGCGUAGGAACGUGCCCCUCGGAGUUGGAUAGCCAUGGGAAACUGUGGGUAAACCGACAUAGACUCGGGAGAGUAAAGGCCGAAAGGCGCCGAGGGAGCGGUCUGCGUCCCAUCAGGUAGUUGGUAGGGUAAAGGCCUACCAAGCCGACGACGGGUAACCGGUCUGAGAGGAUGGCCGGUCACAAGGGCACUGAGAGACGGGCCCUACUCCUACGGGAGGCAGCAGUGGGGGAUUUUGGACAAUGGGCGAAAGCCUGAUCCAGCGACGCCGCGUGGAGGACGAAGCCCUUCGGGGUGUAAACUCCUUUUCUCAGGGAAAAGGAUGAUGGUACCUGAGGAAUAAGCCCGGCUAACUACGUGCCAGCAGCCGCGGUAAGGCUACGUAGACUGGAGUACGUCGACGACGACACACGGAGGUAG